rnacentral:sRNA from 1 species
UUGAAGUCAGAUUACCAAGAAGCUGGUAAGAACAUUUCUUGGCAGUGCCAGGUUUUUUUGGAAAUGGAGUCACCAAAUUUAAAAGGAAAAUUAAAAGACGAAAAUGAGCCAUUGCCAAUAGCGAACGAUCUAUAUGGGAGAUAGUAUAUGCAUUUUUGAAUCUGAAUUAAAUAAUUAUGUAAAGCUUGUAUUACGCUCAACUUGGCUGUAUUUUUAAAGAGUGUCAGGAAAUAGUGCUUCAUCAUGCAUGGCUUAUACACGUAUUCCCAUCAAAAGUCACCCCAAUUUGCCAGAACCAACGCGUAAAUCGAGAAUCUCUUAUGACGGCUGAGUGUGGCCAUAAAGUAAAGAAUAUUCAAACGAGAAAGGAAAAACUCCAAUUAGGAGUAUUAUAGUCGAGACCAGAGAUGCUCUGCAUGAUGAA